rnacentral:rRNA from 2 species
GGUUAAGGGGAAAUGUUAGAGCAAUCGAAGCAUAGAACUUAAGCCCCAGUAAACGGCGGCCGUAACUAUAACGGUCCUAAGGUAGCGAAAUUCCUUGUCGGGUAAGUUCCGACCCGCACGAAAGGUGUAACGAUUUGGGCACUGUCUCAACAAAGGAUCCGGUGAAAUUGUAGUAGUCGUGAAGAUGCGACUUACCCACGAUAGGACGGAAAGACCCCGUGGAGCUUUACUGUAGGCUGGCAUUGGAAUUUGGUAUUAAAUGUACAGGAUAGGUGGGAGACUAAGAAGCGAGAGCGCCAGUUUUCGUGGAGUCAAUGUUGGGAUACCACUCUUUUGAUACUAAAUUUCUAACUUGAUACCCUGAAUCGGGUAUAAGGACACUGUCAGUUGGGCAGUUUGACUGGGGCGGUCGCCUCCUAAAGAGUAACGGAGGCGUUCAAAGGUUCCCUCAGAAUGGAUGGAAAUCAUUCUAAGAGUGCAAAGGCAAAAGGGAGCUUAACUGCGACACCAACAAGUGGAGCAGAUAGGAAACUAGGACUUAGUGAUCCGGUGGUACCGAGUGGAAGGGCCAUCGCUCAACGGAUAAAAGCUACCCCGGGGAUAACAGGCUUAUCUCCCCCAAGAGUUCA